AGAAUCAACGCUGGCGGCGUGCCUAACACAUGCAAGUCGAACGAGAAAGUGGUAGCAAUACCAUGAGUAAAGUGGCGCACGGGUGAGUAACACGUGACUAACCUACCCUGGAGUGGGGGAUAACUGAGGGAAACCUUAGCUAAUACCGCAUAACACCUACGGGUCAAAGGAGCAAUUCGCUUCAGGAGGGGGUCGCGGCAGAUUAGCUAGUUGGCGGGGUAAUGGCCCACCAAGGCAGUGAUCUGUAUCCGGCCUGAGAGGGCGCACGGACACACUGGAACUGAAACACGGUCCAGACUCCUACGGGAGGCAGCAGUGGGGAAUUUUGCGCAAUGGGGGAAACCCUGACGCAGCAACGCCGCGUGGAGGAUGAAGUCCCUCGGGACGUAAACUCCUUUCGAUCGGGACGAUAAUGACGGUACCGAGAGAAGAAGCCCCGGCUAACUUCGCGCCAGCAGUCGC
rnacentral:rRNA from 1 species